CCUACGGGAGGCAGCAGUGAGGAAUAUUGGUCAAUGGUCGGAAGACUGAACCAGCCAAGCCGCGUGAGGGAUGAAGGUACAGAGUAUCGUAAACCUCUUUUGUCAGGGAACAAAGGCGGGGACGUGUCCCCGGCUGAGUGUACCUGAAGAAAAAGCAUCGGCUAACUCCGUGCCAGCAGCCGCGGUAAUACGGAGGAUGCGAGCGUUAUCCGGAUUUAUUGGGUUUAAAGGGUGCGCAGGCGGGCUGUUAAGGCAGCGGUCAAAGCGCGGGGCUCAACCCCGGCCAGCCGUUGAAACUGGGAGUCUAGAGUUGGACAGAAGUAUGCGGAAUGCGCGGUGUAGCGGUGAAAUGCAUAGAUAUCGCGCAGAACUCCGAGUGCGAAGGCAGCAUGCCGGCUCCACACUGACGCUGAGGCACGAAAGCGUGGGUAUCGAACAGGAUUAGAUACCCGUGUAGUC
rnacentral:rRNA from 1 species